rnacentral:rRNA from 1 species
GUGUCAGCAGCCGCGGUAACACGUAGGGGGCGAGCGUUGUCCGGAUUUAUUGGGCGUAAAGAGCUCGUAGGCGGUUUCGUAAGUCGGAUGUGAAAACUCCAGGCUCAACUUGGAGACGCCAUUCGAUACUGCGAUGACUUGAGUCCGGUAGGGGAGUGUGGAAUUCCUGGUGUAGCGGUGAAAUGCGCAGAUAUCAGGAGGAACACCGGCGGCGAAGGCGGCACUCUGGGCCGGUACUGACGCUGAGGAGCGAAAGCGUGGGUAGCAAACAGGAUUAGAUACCCUGGUAGUCCACGCCGUAAACGGUGGGCACUAGGUGUGGGAUUCACUCAACGGAUUCCGUGCCGCAGCUAACGCAUUAAGUGCCCCGCCUGGGGAGUACGGCCGCAAGGCUAAA